GACGAACGCUGGCGGCGUGCUUAACACAUGCAAGUCGAGCGGUAAGGCCCUUUCGGGGGUACGACGAGCGGCGAACGGGUGAGUAACACGUGGGUGACCUGCCCUUAGCUCUGGGAUAAGCCUGGGAAACUGGGUCUAAUACCGGAUAUGACUCCAUGACGCAUGUUGUGGGGUGGAAAGCCUUGUGCGGCUAGGGAUGGGCCUGCGGCCUAUCAGCUUGUUGGUGGGGUGAUGGCCUACCAAGGCGACGACGGGUAGCCGGCCUGAGAGGGCGACCGGUCACACUGGGACUGAGACACGGCCCAGACUCCUACGGGAGGCAGCAGUGGGGAAUCUUGCGCAAUGGGCGAAAGCCUGACGCAGCGACGCCGCGUGGGGAUGACGGCCU
rnacentral:rRNA from 1 species